CCUCCGUUCUUCCGCCGUCUUUACUAUUGCUCCAUGGGGGAAACCCUGAAGCAGCAACGCCGCGUGGAGGAUGAAGGUUUUCGGAUUGUAAACUCCUUUUGUUAGAGAAGAUAAUGACGGUAUCUAACGAAUAAGCACCGGCUAACUCCGUGCCAGCAGCCGCGGUAAUACGGAGGGUGCAAGCGUUACUCGGAAUCACUGGGCGUAAGGAGCGCGUAGGCGGGAUAGCAAGUCAGAUGUGAAAUCCUAUGGCUUAACCAUAGAACUGCAUUUGAAACUGUUAUUCUAGAGUAUGGGAGAGGUAGGUGGAAUUCUUGGUGUAGGGGUAAAAUCCGUAGAGAUCAAGAGGAAUACUCAUUGCGAAGGCGACCUGCUAGAACAUAACUGACGCUGAUGCGCGAAAGCGUGGGGAGCAAACAGGAUUAGAUACCCCUGUAGUC
rnacentral:rRNA from 1 species